rnacentral:rRNA from 1 species
CAGCCGCCACGGGAACACGGAGGGAGCUAGCGUUGUUCGGAAUUACUGGGCGUAAAGCGCGCGUAGGCGGUUACUCAAGUCAGAGGUGAAAGCCCGGGGCUCAACCCCGGAACUGCCUUUGAAACUAGGUGACUAGAAUCUUGGAGAGGUCAGUGGAAUUCCGAGUGUAGAGGUGAAAUUCGUAGAUAUUCGGAAGAACACCAGUGGCGAAGGCGACUGACUGGACAAGUAUUGACGCUGAGGUGCGAAAGCGUGGGGAGCAAACGGGAUUAGAGACCCCCGUAGUCCCUGUCUCUUAUAC